AGUUACUGUCUGCUGCUAAUGUUUCCACAAGAAAAAGUCUCUUCACACUUUCUGUCUGUCUGAUUGUAGCAGCCUGAGAUUGAAUAGAGGAAUACAGGG
rnacentral:snoRNA from 1 species